rnacentral:rRNA from 2 species
AGACCCGAAACCCGGUGAUCUAGCCAUGGGCAGGUUGAAGGUUGGGUAACACUAACUGGAGGACCGAACCGACUAAUGUUGAAAAAUUAGCGGAUGACCUGUGGCUGGGGGUGAAAGGCCAAUCAAACCGGGAGAUAGCUGGUUCUCCCCGAAAGCUAUUUAGGUAGCGCCUCGUGAAUUCAUCUCCGGGGGUAGAGCACUGUUUCGGCUAGGGGGCCAUCCCGGCUUACCAACCCGAUGCAAACUGCGAAUACCGGAGAAUGUUAUCACGGGAGACACACGGCGGGUGCUAACGUCCGUCGUGAAGAGGGAAACAACCCAGACCGCCAGCUAAGGUCCCAAAGUCAUGGUUAAGUGGGAAACGAUGUGGGAAGGCCCAGACAGCCAGGAUGUUGGCUUAGAAGCAGCCAUCAUUUAAAGAAAGCGUAAUAGCUCACUGGUCGAGUCGGCCUGCGCGGAAGAUGUAACGGGGCUAAACCAUGCACCGAAGCUGCGGCAGCGACACUCAGGUGUUGUUGGGUAGGGGAGCGUUCUGUAAGCCUGUGAAGGUGGCCUGUGAGGGUUGCUGGAGGUAUCAGAAGUGCGAAUGCUGACAUAAGUAACGAUAAAGCGGGUGAAAAGCCCGCUCGCCGGAAGACCAAGGGUUCCUGUCCAACGUUAAUCGGGGCAGGGUGAGUCGACCCCUAAGGCGAGGCCGAAAGGCGUAGUCGAUGGGAAACGGGUUAAUAUUCCCGUACUUGGUGUUACUGCGAAGGGGGGACGGAGAAGGCUAUGUUGGCCGGGCGACGGUUGUCCCGGUUUAAGCGUGUAGGUGUGUGUUCCAGGUAAAUCCGGUUCACUUUAACACUGAGGCGUGACGACGAGGCACUACGGUGCUGAAGCAACAAAUGCCCUGCUUCCAGGAAAAGCCUCUAAGCAUCAGGUAACAUCAAAUCGUACCCCAAACCGACACAGGUGGUCAGGUAGAGAAUACCAAGGCGCUUGAGAGAACUCGGGUGAAGGAACUAGGCAAAAUGGUGCCGUAACUUCGGGAGAAGGCACGCUGACACGUAGGUGAAGUGAUUUACUCACGGAGCUGAAGUCAGUCGAAGAUACCAGCUGGCUGCAACUGUUUAUUAAAAACACAGCACUGUGCAAACACGAAAGUGGACGUAUACGGUGUGACGCCUGCCCGGUGCCGGAAGGUUAAUUGAUGGGGUCAGCGCAAGCGAAGCUCCUGAUCGAAGCCCCGGUAAACGGCGGCCGUAACUAUAACGGUCCUAAGGUAGCGAAAUUCCUUGUCGGGUAAGUUCCGACCUGCACGAAUGGCGUAAUGAUGGCCAGGCUGUCUCCACCCGAGACUCAGUGAAAUUGAACUCGCUGUGAAGAUGCAGUGUACCCGCGGCAAGACGGAAAGACCCCGUGAACCUUUACUAUAGCUUGACACUGAACAUUGAGCCUUGAUGUGUAG